rnacentral:rRNA from 1 species
GGGUGCGAUCAUACCAGCACUAAUACACCGGAUCCCAUCAAAACUCUUCAGUUAAGUGUGCUUGGGCGAGAGUAGUACUAGGAUGGAUGACCUCCUGGGAAGUCCUCGUGUUGCAUCCC